GACGAACGCUGGCGGCGUGCUUAACACAUGCAAGUGGUGCGACGAACCAGGGCUUGCCCUGGGGCCAAGCCGCGAACGGGUGAGUAACACGUGAGUAACCUGCCCCGAUGACCGGGACAACCCGAGGAAACUCGGGCUAAUACCGGAUGUCGGCGCACAGGCGUAAGCCUGUUCGCUAAAGGAAGCUUCGGCCUCCGCAUUGGGAGGGGCUCGCGGCCCAUUAGCUUGUUGGUGGGGUCAAGGCCUACCAAGGCGACGACGGGUAGCCGGCCUGAGAGGGCGACCGGCCACACUGGGACUGAGACACGGCCCAGACUCCUACGGGAGGCAGCAGUGGGGAAUCUUGCGCAAUGGGCGAAAGCCUGACGCAGCGACGCCGCGUGAGGGAUGAC
rnacentral:rRNA from 1 species